rnacentral:rRNA from 1 species
AUGAUUUCUUCGGAAUGAAACUAGAUAUGACUUAGUGGCGGACGGGUGAGUAACGCGUGAGUAACCUGCCCUUCAGAGGGGGAUAGCGUUUGGAAACGAACGGUAAUACCGCAUAAUGUAUUUUGACCGCAUGAUCGAAAUACCAAAGAUUUAUCGCUGAAGGAUGGACUCGCGUCUGAUUAGGUAGUUGGUGGGGUAACGGCCUACCAAGCCGACGAUCAGUAGCCGGACUGAGAGGUUGAUCGGCCACAUUGGGACUGAGACACGGCCCAGACUCC